GUGCAGCAGUCGAGAAUCUUCCACAAUGGGGGAAACCCUGAUGGAGCGACGCCGCGUGCGGGAUGAAGGCCCUAUGGGUUGUAAACCGCUGUUCAGUGGAAAGAACAUCCUCCGGCUGAAUAGGUCGGAGGCCUGACGUUACCACUGCAGAAAGUCCCGGCAACUCCGUGCCAGCAGCCGCGGUAAUACGGGGGGGACAGCGCUGUCCGGAAUCAUUGGGCGUAAAGGGCGCGUAGGCGGCGAGGAAAGUCGAAUGUGAAAUCUUGCGGCUCAACUGCAAAACUGCGUUCGAAACUUCCUCGCUUGA
rnacentral:rRNA from 1 species